UGGGGAAUUUUGGACAAUGGGCGAAAGCCUGAUCCAGCCAUGCCGCGUGAGUGAAGAAGGCCUUCGGGUUGUAAAGCUCUUUUAGUCGGAAAGAAAGAGUUGCAAUGAAUAAUUGUGAUUUAUGACGGUACCGACAGAAAAAGCACCGGCUAACUACGUGCCAGCAGCCGCGGUAAUACGUAGGGUGCGAGCGUUAAUCGGAAUUACUGGGCGUAAAGGGUGCGCAGGCGGUCUGGCAAGUCAGAUGUGAAAGCCCCGGGCUUAACCUGGGAAUUGCGUUUGAAACUACAAGACUAGAGUGCAGCAGAGGGGAGUGGAAUUCCAUGUGUAGCAGUGAAAUGCGUAGAGAUGUGGAAGAACACCGAUGGCGAAGGCAGCUCCCUGGGUUGACACUGACGCUCAUGCACGAAAGCGUGGGGAGCAAACA
rnacentral:rRNA from 1 species